UACAGAGGUCUCAAGCGUUGUUCGGAUUCAUUGGGCGUAAAGGGUGCGUAGGUGGUGGGGUAAGUCGGAUGUGAAAUCCCGGGGCUCAACCCCGGAACUGCAUUCGAUACUGCCUUGCUCGAGUACUGGAGAGGAGACUGGAAUUUACGGUGUAGCAGUGAAAUGCGUAGAUAUCGUAAGGAAGACCAGUGGCGAAGGCGAGUCUCUGGACAGUUACUGACACUGAGGCAGCGAAGGCCAAGGGGAGCAAACGGG
rnacentral:rRNA from 1 species